UACGUAGGUGGCAAGCGUUGUCCGGAUUUACUGGGCGUAAAGAGCGCGCAGGCGGUCGUUCAAGUCGCGUGUGAAAGCCCCCGGCUCAACUGGGGAGGGUCACGCGAUACUGAUCGACUCGAAGGCAGGAGAGGGAAGUGGAAUUCCCGGUGUAGUGGUGAAAUGCGUAGAUAUCGGGAGGAACACCAGUGGCGAAGGCGGUUACCUGGGGCUUUGCUGACGCUGAUGCGCGAAAGCGUGGGGAGCGAUCCGG
rnacentral:rRNA from 1 species